rnacentral:rRNA from 1 species
UACGUAGGGCGCAAGCGUUGUCCGGAAUUAUUGGGCGUAAAGAGCUCGUAGGCGGCUUGUCACGUCGGAUGUGAAAACUCGGGGCUUAACUCCGGGCCUGCAGUGGGUACGGGCAGACUAGAGUGCGGUAGGGGAGACUGGAAUUCCUGGUGUAGCGGUGAAAUGCGCAGAUAUCAGGAGGAACACCGGUGGCGAAGGCGGGUCUCUGGGCCGUAACUGACGCUGAGGAGCGAAAGCGUGGGGAGCGAACAGG